UACGUAGGUGGCGAGCGUUGUCCGGAUUUACUGGGCGUAAAGGGAGCGUAGGCGGACUUUUAAGUGAGAUGUGAAAUACCCGGGCUCAACUUGGGUGCUGCAUUUCAAACUGGAAGUCUAGAGUGCAGGAGAGGAGAAUGGAAUUCCUAGUGUAGCGGGGAAAUGCGUAGAGAUUAGGAAGAACACCAGUGGCGAAGGCGAUUCUCUGGACUGUAACUGACGCUGAGGCUCGAAAGCGUGGGGAGCAAACAGGAUUAGAUACCCUGGUA
rnacentral:rRNA from 1 species